rnacentral:rRNA from 1 species
GCGUAGGCAAAUCCGCGUCUCACAUGCCUGAGACCUGACGCCGAGCCGAUUAAGGCGAAGUGGAUGAUCCUAUGCUGCCAAGAAAAGCCUCUAGCGAGUGUUAAAGCCGCCCGUACCCCAAACCGACACAGGUGGUCAGGUAGAGAAUACCAAGGCGAUCGAGAGAACUAUGGUUAAGGAACUCGGCAAAAUGCCCCCGUAACUUCGGGAGAAGGGGGGCCGAUUUGGGUGAGGAGACUUGCUCUCUAAGCCCGGGUUGGCCGCAGAGACCAGGCCCAAGCGACUGUUUACUAAAAACACAGGUCCAUGCGAAGUCGCAAGGCGCUGUAUAUGGACUGACGCCUGCCCGGUGCUGGAACGUUAAGGGGACGGGUUAGCAACUUCGGUUGCGAAGCUCAGAACUUAAGCGCCAGUAAACGGCGGUGGUAACUAUAACCAUCCUAAGGUAGCGAAAUUCCUUGUCGGGUAAGUUCCGACCUGCACGAAUGGCGUAACGACUUGGGCGCUGUCUCAACCGUAGACUCGGCGAAAUUGCACUACGAGUAAAGAUGCUCGUUACGCGCGGCAGGACGAAAAGACCCCGGGACCUUUACUACAGCUUGGUAUUGGUGGUCGAUUCAAUUUGUGUAGGAUAGGUGGGAGACUAUGAACUCUGGACGCCAGUUCAGAGGGAGUCAUCGUUGAAAUACCACUCUGAUUGUAUUGGCUGUCUAACCUAGGUCCGUAAUCCGGAUCAGGGACAGUGCCUGGUGGGUAGUUUAACUGGGGCGGUUGCCUCCCAAAAUGUAACGGAGGCGCUCAAAGGUUCCCUCAGCCUGGUUGGCAAUCAGGUAUCGAGUGUAAGUGCACAAGGGAGCUUGACUGUGAGACUGACGGGUCGAGCAGGGACGAAAGUCGGAACUAGUGAUCCGGCGCUGGCAAGUGGAAGCGGCGUCGCUCAACGGAUAAAAGGUACCCCGGGGAUAACAGGCUGAUCUUCCCCAAGAGUCCAUAUCGACGGGAUGGUUUGGCACCUCGAUGUCGGCUCGUCGCAUCCUGGGGCUGGAGUUGGUCCCAAGGGUUGGGCUGUUCGCCCAUUAAAGCGGCACGCGAGCUGGGUUUAGAACGUCGUGAGACAGUUCGGUCCCUAUCCGCCGCGCGCGUAAGAGUCUUGAGAAGGGCUGUCCCUAGUACGAGAGGACCGGGAUGGACGAACCUCUGGUGUGUCAGUUGUCCUGCCAAGGGCACUGCUGAUUAGCUACGUUCGGAACGGAUAACCGCUGAAAGCAUCUAAGCGGGAAGCCGGCUUCAAGAUGAGGGCUCUCACAGGGUGAA